rnacentral:rRNA from 1 species
AUUGAACGCUGGCGGCAGGCUUAACACAUGCAAGUCGAGCGAGCGGCGGACGGGUGAGUAAUGUCUGGGAAACUGCCUGAUGGAGGGGGAUAACUACUGGAAACGGUCGCUAAUACCGCAUACCAUCAGAUGUGCCAAGAUGGGAUUAGCUAGUAGGGGGGGUAAUGGCUCACCUAGGCGACGAUCCCUAGCUGGUCUGAGAGGAUGACCACCCACACUGGAACUGGGACACGGUCCAGACUCCUCCGGGAGGCAGCAGUGGGGAAUAUUGCACAAGGGGGGAAAGCCUGAGGCAGCCAUGCCGCGUGUGUGAAGAAGGCUGUGGGUUUGUAAAGCACGUUCAGCGAGGAGGCGUUACUCGCAGAAGAAGCACCGGCUAACUCCGUGCCAGCAGCCGCGGUAAUAC